rnacentral:rRNA from 1 species
AGAGUUUGAUCCUGGCUCAGGAUGAACGCUAGCUACAGGCUUAACACAUGCAAGUCGAGGGGCAGCAUUUUAGUUUGCUUGCAAACUGAAGAUGGCGACCGGCGCACGGGUGAGUAACACGUAUCCAACCUGCCGAUAACUCCGGAAUAGCCUUUCGAAAGAAAGAUUAAUACCGGAUAGUAUACGAAUAUCGCAUGAUAUUUUUAUUAAAGAAUUUCGGUUAUCGAUGGGGAUGCGUUCCAUUAGUUUGUUGGCGGGGUAACGGCCCACCAAGACUACGAUGGAUAGGGGUUCUGAGAGGAAGGUCCCCCACAUUGGAACUGAGACACGGUCCAAACUCCUACGGGAGGCAGCAGUGAGGAAUAUUGGUCAAUGGGCGAGAGCCUGAACCAGCCAAGUAGCGUGAAGGAUGACUGCCCUAUGGGUUGUAAACUUCUUUUAUAUGGGAAUAAAGUUUUCCACGUGUGGAAUUUUGUAUGUACCAUAUGAAUAAGGAUCGGCUAACUCCGUGCCAGCAGCCGCGGUAAUACGGAGGAUCCGAGCGUUAUCCGGAUUUAUUGGGUUUAAAGGGAGCGUAGGUGGAUUGUUAAGUCAGUUGUGAAAGUUUGCGGCUCAACCGUAAAAUUGCAGUUGAAACUGGCAGUCUUGAGUACAGUAGAGGUGGGCGGAAUUCGUGGUGUAGCGGUGAAAUGCUUAGAUAUCACGAAGAACUCCGAUUGCGAAGGCAGCUCACUAGACUGUUACUGACACUGAUGCUCGAAAGUGUGGGUAUCAAACAGGAUUAGAUACCCUGGUAGUCCACACAGUAAACGAUGAAUACUCGCUGUUUGCGAUAUACAGUAAGCGGCCAAGCGAAAGCAUUAAGUAUUCCACCUGGGGAGUACGCCGGCAACGGUGAAACUCAAAGGAAUUGACGGGGGCCC